rnacentral:rRNA from 1 species
AGAACGAACGCUGGCAGCGUGGAUUAGGCAUGCAAGUCGAACGGGAUCAACUGGUUAGCAAUAAUUGGUUGUGAGAGUGGCGGAUUGGCGAGGAACACGUGAGCAACCUGUCCUUGAGUUGGGGAAAACCGUUGGAAACGACGGCUAAUACUGGAUGUGGCGCCUGGGGACAUCCUUGGAGCGCUAAAGGGGGCCGCAAGGCUCUCGCUCGAUGAGGGGCUCGCGCAUCAUCAGCUAGUUGGCGGGGUAACGGCCCACCAAGGCAUACGGUUAGCUGGUCUGAGAGGAUGACCAGCCGCACUGGGACUGAGAUACUGCCCAGACUCCUACGGGAGGCUGCAGUCGAGGAUCAUUUGCAAUGGGCGAAAGCCUGACAAUGCGACGCUGCGUGGAGGAUGAAGGCCUUCGGGUUGUAAACUCCUGUCAUAAGGGAAAAGGCGAGGGGACCUAAUACGUCCUUUAGUUGAUUGUACUUUAAGAGGAAGCGACGGCUAACUCUGUGCCAGCAGCCGCGGUAAUACAGAGGUCGCAAGCGUUGUUCGGAUUUACUGGGCGUAAAGGGCACGUAGGUGGCGAGGCGUGUCGAGUGUGAAAGCUCUGGGCUCAACCCAGAAAGUGCGCUCGAAACUACCUUGCUUGAGUGCGGGAGAGGGAAUCGGAAUAUAGGGUGUAGCGGUGAAAUGCGUUGAUAUCCUAUAGAACACCGGAGGCGAAGGCGGAUUCCUAGAACGCAACUGACACUAAGGUGCGAAAGUCGGGGGAGCAAACAGGAUUAGAUACCCUGGUAGUCCCGACCAUAAACGGUGCAUACUCGAGGUGGGGAGAUUUACCCUUUCUGUCUCUUAGCUAACGCGUUAAG